CUCUGAUUCUUCAACCUCCUGAGAUGAGAUUAAUAAACAAUCAUGUAUAUUAAUAGACAACCUAUCAGAGCCAAAUUCGUUGUAAAUUAUGUCCUAAUAAAUAGAACCAAAACAUGUCAUUCAAAACAACUAUGAACAAAAUUACCAUUUCAACUUGCAAAAAAGUCCAGAUGCUGCAGAGUGAAACCCUUGUUGCUAUUGAUAAUAUCAAUUCCUCGAGAAGCAAUAGUAAGUUCACUCUACUACGUGGCUGCUCAGCAUUCGAUUUGGGUUUUUUUUAUGAGUGUUGAGAUCUCCUUCUUAAUUGAGGAUUUACCUGCGGCUAAACCAACCGACAAGUGCCGAUCACGCACCCAAAGGUCAAAGACUUCUUUGACCUAAAAAAGGAGCAUCACAAUUAAAUAAACAAUAUUAAAUCACUACUUGUAAAGAUUGUUUAUGACUACUGUAAAGAUAUUAAAUUAAUUUCAUAAAUUAAUGUUACCUCCACAACCAAGUCACUAGUAGGGAGCAGCACCAGAGCCCUAAGUUUUCUCUCCCAAGUUCUCUUAGUAGACCACAUUUUAACAAUUACCAGAACAUAUGCAAGAGUUUUCCCACUACUUUCAGUGCUUGCACGGAAACUCAUGCAAAUAUCACGAUUAAAACAGUCAUGUCAUAUAUAGUCUCCUCCCAAACUCAACUUAGUGACACCUUUCUCCCCACGCAAAUCAGGUGUGCGCUGAGGCGAAGAAUGUUAUAGAAGAAGUUGUGCAGAUGCUUCCAUAACGUCACCCACAUGGUAUUCGGCUUAUCAAAAUUGUGGUUACUGAUGAAUAUGUGUCCGACCCAACCAGAAUCUGUGAACUUGGUUUGUCACAUCCGAAGUUACUAGUGGCUCGGCCUAAAUGUGAGAAUCACGAAGAAGAGCAAUGUGGCUGAUGGAAGUGAGUAAAAGCUUGGGUUGAUGCUAUCUCGAUGUCUAGAUUAUAUUUAUAUUUAUGUCAAGAAAACAUUUGCUUGUCUUUUUUUCUUUUUGUUUGGAUCUAUUAACUUAUUAGUUCAGAAUUACUGCUAUAGUUUUAACUUUUUAGGUUUGUUAUUAUGAUUAUUAUAACUACUAAUUUUGAUUAUUAUUAUUUAUU